rnacentral:snRNA from 1 species
GCUCCCUUCAGCAGCAUACACUAAAAUUGGAACGAUACAGUGUAGACUAGCAUGGUCCCUGCACAAGCAUGACACACAAAUUCAUGUAGCGUUCCAUAUUUUU